UACAGAGGUCUCAAGCGUUGUUCGGAUUCAUUGGGCGUAAAGGGUGUGUAGGUGGCGCCGUAAGUCGGGUGUGAAAUUUCGGAGCUUAACUCCGAACCUGCAUUCGAUACUGCGGUGCUUGAGGACUGGAGAGGAGACUGGAAUCCAUGGUGUAGCAGUGAAAUGCGUAGAGAUCAUGAGGAAGACCAGUGGCGAAGGCGGGUCUCUGGACAGUUCCUGACACUGAGACACGAAGGCCAGGGGAGCAAACGGG
rnacentral:rRNA from 1 species